UUCUCACCAUCUCAGCUCGCACGCAGAGGCACAUGCCGGGGAAUGUGGGGCUGGCUGCGGCAGCUGAAACAAGACGCGGCGCACCUACCGUUGGCAUCUUCCCCACAUUUCAAGGCACGCCUGUCAUCUGUAUCAUCGGAAACUUAAUUGCAGGGCGCUGUAACUCCAGCCUCUUUGGAGAGGAAUUGUUACGCGUUGUGCCGAGAAGGAAAACUCUCUGCUCAGAAAAUUUCACCCUUCUCUUCGGCGCGACACCUGAACUGAAGCAUUUGCACGCAAUGGCGUGGUUGCUGUGUCCCUGUAAGUGGUAUCGCUAGGUCUUCGUGAACGGAAGCGCGGAACAUCGGGAGGGUCAUUUCGACUACCCCUGAGAUUCACCCAAGGCCUCCGGAGAGCGCUUUCUCCUGAUAAAACCGAGGCAAAGAAAAAAGCCGUGCAUCUAGAAUCUGCGUUUUCUGAUGCCGGACAGGAACAUUUAGGAACGUUAGAAAUGAAUAUCCGCGGGGGAAAGACUCCUCGGAGCUGAUCAAAACGACUCUCAGCGUGUCAGUUGGAAACCUAUGUUUUAAAGAAGAAGAACCAUUUCUCUUUCAUAUACAAGAAAAAACGAAAGCCAUCAGGGGCUUCUUCUGUUUAAAAUGCCAGUUUCGUCUUGCGACCAGAACUACCAAAACUCCUACCUACCACUUUCUAGACGGUCAGUGGGAAACCUCCCUCCUUUAGCUCAUGUCCUUAGCUGAGUUGCACGUGGCCUGUGAUGCCAUUCUUCCAUCCAGGAAAUGAGGAGGGCUUACAUUCUGCACGCCAUGCAGACACCCCAGAACUGGCCAACCGAGCCCAGACGAAAGGCCAUGAGUCAACUUCAGCUAUAGGGCCAUUUGGCAGGAAAUCACUAUUGGUAGUCGUUGGUCCCACCAUUUAUUCAUUUAAGAAACAUUUUCAGAGCUCGGUGCUAUAUUUGGUGGGAAGAUGGCUCUAGGGAAAAAGAGCCAGCCAGAUGUGUAUGCAGAUGGCCAAGGCAGGCAGUGCUGCACGUGCUAUGGAAAGAUUCACCCUGGGGUUAUCCGUCACAGGACACCAACUGUGGAAAUCCCAGAACCCACAGAUGGUGUGCAAGCACCCGCCCCAAAAAACAAGAGCUGAGAAGGACUGCAUUAUAAAAAGGGAAUAAUGGCAGUUAUGCUUCCACAAAGGAAAUUUGGGGCAUGCGAAAAAAAGAAAAAUCCUCAAACAAGCAAAACUAAGCAACAACAGCAAAAAAACCACCCCCACCAAGAUGUAUUGUAAGUUACAAUAAAGUAGUAAUAUUAUU